rnacentral:rRNA from 1 species
AACGAACGCUGGCGGCAUGCCUAACACAUGCAAGUCGAACGAGAUCUUCGGGUCUAGUGGCGCACGGGUGCGUAACGCGUGGGAAUCUGCCCUUUGGUUCGGAAUAACAGUUGGAAACGACUGCUAAUACCGGAUGAUGACGAAAGUCCAAAGAUUUAUCGCCAGAGGAUGAGCCCGCGUAGGAUUAGCUAGUUGGUGCGGUAAAGGCGCACCAAGGCGACGAUCCUUAGCUGGUCUGAGAGGAUGAUCAGCCACACUGGGACUGAGACACGGCCCAGACUCCUGCGGGAGGCAGCAGUGGGGAAUAUUGGACAAUGGGCGAAAGCCUGAUCCAGCAAUGCCGCGUGAGUGAUGAAGGCCUUAGGGUUGUAAAGCUCUUUUACCCGGGAUGAUAAUGACAGUACCGGGAGAAUAAGCUCCGGCUAACUCCGUGCCAGCCGCCGCAGUAA